rnacentral:tRNA from 1 species
CCCUGGCUGGCUCAGUGGGUAGAGCAUGCAACUCUUGAUCUCAGGGUUGUGAGUUCAAGCCUCAUGUUGGGGG